rnacentral:lncRNA from 1 species
UGUGUAUGUAUACGUGUAUGUGUGUGACCAUGUAUAUACAUGUGAUCACACACAUAUGGAUCAAAUGUCAUAUCCCCCCUCCAAGAACUUAUAAUACAGUUGCGAACACAGAAUUGGGAGCUUAAAAUGGUAUCAGGAAAAAUAAUCUAAAAGAGGUAGAGAUGAUAAAUUUUCAAUAUGUAGAAAUAUCAGGAGAGACCAUUUUUAUCUAUAGUUAUCCACAAAGCCUUUAUGGAGCAAGAAGAAGCUGUGCUAAAUUUUGAAAACCAGAUAAGAUUUUGAAGGGGAAUGUGAUAGGAGAGCAUUUCAGAUGAUAAAGAUAUAGAUGAUAGAGAAUAGCUUGCUGGAUUCAUCAAAGACAUGAAUAAGGGACGGUAUAUAAGACCUACUCAGGAAAAAGUGAGUAGAUGUGUUAGCCAUUUUCUGUUCCUGUGUAAAACAUCUGAGGCCAGGUAAUGUAUAAGGAAAACAAGUUUAUUUAGCUUGUAACUUGGGAAGCUGAAAGUCCCAGAUUAAGUGGCUGCAUUAUUUCAGCCUCUGGUGGGGCCUGCUGGGCCACAUCACAACAUGCUGAAUGGAGUGUGGCAAGAGUGUGCAAAAGAGGUAGAGUGAAGACACGGUGACACAGGAAGUCAGAGGAAUUUAGGAGCCUGGCUUGAUCUUUUCAUAACAACUUGCUCUUGCAAGAACUGACCACUCCACAAGAACAACAUUAAUGCCUUCUAGGGAUGAUGCCCUCAUUACUCCAUUACCCUGCAGUAGGAUCUUAAAAAUCCUACCUCUUAAAGCUUCUACCACCUUAACAUCACCAAACUGGGACCAAACUUCCAGCUUGUGCAACUCUGGGGGACAGACCCAAACCAUAGCAGAUUUCUUUGGGUGGAGCUGAGAUUGCAGUUGUGGCAAUUACAGUAUCUAAGACAAGACAGGUAGGCUGGCCCCAAGCUGUGGAGGGUUUUCAUGGCAACAGAGGACCCUUGAAGGGUUUUCAACAGGAGGAAGUAUUAGUAAAAGGAUAUUGAAAGAAAAAUAAUCCAGCACUGGCAUGAAAUAGAGUUCUAAUCUUCUUCUUUGGAUCCAUGGGGUGGGGAUUACAAAUUGUAGUAGAAGCCAAGCAUGACACAAAUGAUAUAUUGCCCCUAGGGACAGGAACCACUCUUGGGGACAAAACAAAGCCUUCUCAAACCUAGAUCCCUAUCUGUGUAGGCCAAGUGCAGUGUCUCAUCUCUUUGAUGAUAUAUGAGGAAAACCUUUUCCCUGUUGCUGAAAAUAUUCUGCAACACUGAAUAUUUUACUUUUGGGGGGGAGGUGGGUAAAUAUAUGGCAACACUGAGGUGGAUGGGUACUGGGGAUUGAACUCAGGGCCACUCAACCACUGAGCCACAUCCCCAGCCCUAUUUUGUAUUUUUAUUUAAAGACAGGAUCUCACUGAGUUGCUUAGUGCCUCUCUUUUGCUAAGGUUGGCUUUGAACUCGUGAUCCUCUGGUCUCAGCCUCUCGAGCCUCUGGGAUUACAGGUGUGUGCCACUGUGCCCAGCAAUAUUUUUACUCUUGAUUUAUGUGUGCAUGUGUGCACUUUGCAGUGAUCAUUAGGAAGUUAUACACUUGGAAAGAAAUCUUUUUCAUUUUGUUUUAUUUGUGGACAUACCACAUAUUUAAAGUUGCCUUGGAAAUCAUGACCUUUGGACAUACACCUCAGUGUUCACCCUUUUUGUCACUCUUUCCAUUCCAGAAACAUGGCAUUAAGGAAGAUCAUUCAAGGUGGGGACUGAUGGGAGGGAUGUCUUACAGAGGGACAUAAGGAAACUUUAGGGUGAUGGAUUCAUCAUCUUGCCUUGCUGGCUUCCUGGGUGUAUACAUAUGUCAGAAC